UUGAGGUCAAUCUGGAGACAAUGUAGGGAGGGCUUCCUCCCCUUGCUGUGUUGGGUCAGGCUGGUGCGGAGAGGGUUAAUAAAACAGUGCAGGGUGAGCUGAAUAGAGUGGAGGAAACAUGAGAACCUGCCUGUACUGAGCCUGUAUGGAAGUUGUAGCCUCCUUCAUCCUCCCUCCCUCUCUUGCCUCCUCCUCUCCCAGUACAGUUAGAAACACAAGAGCAGAGCCCAGAGCUGGUUAGAUGAGCCAGUGAUCAAGUCAGGAACUGAAUGCAGCAAGCUGCCUCCGGCCACACAUCUUUCUAGGGAUGUCAUUUUUUAGAUAACCUUUGUAUUUUACACAAUAUCAACCUCAUGAGAGAGCAUUGGUGGAUGGCAAGGAAAGUCCUUGGAAUCUGUAAGAAGGAAUACAAAGAAAACUUCAGGAAAAGUUCCUGCCAACUUUUUAUUUCCUCCUGAAAUUGAUCUUCACUCUCAGGACUUAAGUUCUUACUUGGUUCUUCUCCUUCUUUUGAGGAUCUAACUUUUUGGAUAAGGGAUUUUUAAAGGAACUAAUAAGAAGAUGGGAGUAAAAUCCAAGCUCUCGUCGGUUAUAUUGUAUCUGCCUUUCCUCUACUGCUUGGCAGGGGAAGUCUACUCCUUUGGCGACGAGGAGGAAAGGCGAUGUGACCCUAUCAGGAUUUCAAUGUGUCAGAACCUUGGGUACAAUGUCACCAAAAUGCCCAAUCUGGUUGGGCACGAAUUGCAGUCGGAUGCAGAACUUCAGCUCACCACGUUCACCCCUCUUAUACAGUAUGGGUGCUCCAGCCAGCUACAGUUCUUCCUCUGUUCUGUGUAUGUUCCCAUGUGCACGGAGAAGAUUAACAUCCCCAUUGGUCCUUGUGGUGGCAUGUGCCUUUCGGUCAAGAAAAGGUGCGAGCCUGUCCUUAAGGAAUUUGGAUUUACUUGGCCUGAAGGUUUAAACUGCAGCAAAUUUCCUCCUCAGAAUGACCACAAUCAUAUGUGCAUGGAGGGUCCUGGAGAUGAAGAGGUCCCACUGCACAGCAAGACCUCUGUGCAGCCUGGAGAAGACUGCACCAUAUUUGGUCCAAAUGCAGAGCAGUAUACUUGGGUGAAAAGAAGCACGUCUUGUGUUUUGAAGUGCGGCUAUGAUGCUGGGCUCUACAGUCGUCUGUCUAAGGAAUUCACCGAUAUUUGGAUGACCGUAUGGGCCAGCUUGUGCUUCAUAUCUACUGCCUUCACUGUCCUUACAUUUUUGAUUGACUCUUCCAGGUUCUCCUACCCUGAGAGGCCCAUCAUCUUCCUGAGCAUGUGUUAUAAUAUUUAUAGCAUUGCUUACAUUGUGAGGUUAACAGUGGGCCGAGAAAGAAUAUCCUGUGAUUUUGAAGAGGCGACAGAACCUGUCCUUAUUCAGGAAGGGCUGAAGAACACAGGAUGUGCUAUUAUUUUCUUGCUGAUGUACUUUUUUGGGAUGGCUAGCUCCAUCUGGUGGGUUAUUCUGACAUUGACCUGGUUUCUCGCUGCUGGUCUCAAAUGGGGGCAUGAAGCAAUCGAAAUGCACAGUUCCUAUUUCCAUAUUGCUGCUUGGGCCAUUCCGGCUGUGAAAACCAUUGUUAUAUUGAUCAUGAGACUUGUAGACGCCGAUGAGUUGACCGGGCUAUGCUAUGUUGGCAAUCAAAACAUUGAUGCCCUCACCGGAUUUGUGGUUGCUCCACUUUUUACCUACUUGGUGAUUGGGACUUUGUUCAUAGCUGCUGGCCUUGUGGCCUUGUUUAAAAUUAGGUCAAAUCUUCAAAAAGACGGGACAAAAACUGAUAAAUUGGAAAGACUGAUGGUAAAAAUUGGCGUCUUCUCGGUUUUGUAUACAGUGCCAGCCACAUGUGUCAUCGCCUGCUAUUUUUAUGAAAUCUCCAACUGGCCGGUUUUCCGUUACACUGCUGAUGAUUCCAACAUGGCAGUGGAGAUGCUCAAGAUAUUUAUGUCUCUCUUGGUGGGUAUUACAUCUGGAAUGUGGAUCUGGUCGGCCAAGACACUGCAUACGUGGCAAAAGUGUUCUAACAGAUUAGUAAAUUCAGGAAAGGUAAAAAGGAAGAAAAGAGCGGACGCUUGGGUUAAGCCAGGAAAAGGGAACGAGACUGUUGUAUAGCUCGAGGUUCAGCACAAUUCACAAAGUGAACACCGUCCUACAUUGAGUUCUUGGAGACAUAGGGCUUACAUCUUUCGGGAUAACUCUUCUAUGGGAUGUUCAUUUUGGUUCCUAAUGGCUCCCCAAAGUUGGCAAAGCCUGGAUGCCUUCUGUCCAUGGUUUCAGCACUAAAGGUUGUCCAAGUGGUAAAAAUGAAUGACCUCAGGAAACAGAGAGCUAGACUUGGCCUUGUUCGCUAGCUCCAAAGGAUUUGUCACCGAUGGGCCAUUUUAGGGCUUUUUUAUAGUUAAAAAAAUAACUAUUUUUCAUAGGUUACAUUGUGGUAAAGUCUUAUAUCUUGUACACGACUGGAAGGUUGCUUCCAAGACAAUGGAUUAACGAAUGUGACUACCAAGCAAGCGAACAUGCAAGGCACAUUUUAUCCUAUUGCUUCACCAGUGUUUUGCCCUACUACGAAACCACUGCCCAAGGUGUAUUUUAAAAUUUCUGACAGAAAGAGUGAAGCCUCUGAACACUGGAAACUGUUUUAGACUUUUUGGUGCCUUACUAACUGAAAUAUUUUCAUUUAUGUGUGUUACUGCCUAAUAUAGCCAAUCACCGAAUGCAGGAAGAUCUAAUCUCCUGAUCAUUGUCUGUAGUUAUGGGCAAGGACAAACAAAACUUUGUAGACCAAUUAGACCACUUCAGAAGCCAACUGACCUUUCGUUUGGCAGACAUCUCAAAAACAUCAACUGAAAAAAAAAAAUAUCCAAAAUGUUAGGCACUAACUUUAAACUUCUGGGCACAUUGGCUAUGGAUUUGUCCAGCCCGUUUUCAAGAAAGUAUAGCUCGUCGUAGUCUUGUUUUUUCCCUACUUCUAGACAUGAUGGGUCUAGACUCUAGAAGAUCAAGGUCUGUGGACUCUUUGUGUUCAUAAUGCACUAAAAGUGAAAAUAUAUAGAAACAGAAUAGGCUCAUAUGGAUUGAAAAGGAAAGAGAAACAAUGCACUAUUUGCUCUCUGUAUAUAGGAUUAGUAUAUGUGUGGUGCCUUUGUGAAUUAUAAGAUAAAAUAUUGAAAAAAGUAAAGUAUUAGCAUAUGGAACAUCACAACUCCUAUAUAGAUAGUGAUGUGAUUGGCUGCUAGCCAUUAUAUCAGGUGAGGUCACCAGCAGCUAGUGAUGUCAUCGGGGCCUAAGGCACAUUUAUAGUUUCAUGUAGAGUAUGCCUUGUUGAUGUCACUAGUUCCUAUUGAUUUCAUAAGCUGCAUUUUUGCCAGUUGUCACCCCAUUUUUGAUACCUGAGCCUUAAGGCCUAAACAUUUCAGAACUUAAAAAAAAAAUGUUUUUUCCUAUGCUUCAUUUUAAUUAUAUUGAUUCAUAUUGAAUAUUGGAUUUUUGUUUUAAUAAUGACAUGCAAUGUGUUGUUUUUUACAGUAGGGGGUCACUUUUGUGAAUGAAAGGGGCAUGCCGCUACUCUAUAGGGUGCUGCAUUCUACAGUAGGUGUCAGUGAUGGGUCAGUCGGCAAGUUGAUCCCCUCCACUGACAAUAGUGACACCUACUGUAGAAGGCAGCACACUACAUCAUAUUGGCUUUCAGUGUUUUGCCCCCUGUCCAUUGACAAUAUGUACAAGCCUCUACUGUAGGUAUCCAUGUUAUCAAAAAGGAGCAGACUAUAUUGCAGUGUACUAACCUCUACAGUGGAGGAGACAUGCAACUAUGGUAUAUUACAGUACAUCGCCCCUAUGUUGCAGUAUGCUGGCCCCUACAGUACGGGUCACUAUUGUCAAUGGAGGGAACAAGCCACUAUAUUGCAGGGCACUGACUUCUAUAGUAGCUGUCACUAUUGGCGUACAGUAUAUUCUCCUCCAUUGACAACAGUGACACCUCGUGUAGAGGCCAGCAAUGGCAACAUAUUGGCUUGCCGACCCAUGUUGCAGUGAUCUAGACUCUGCAGUAUUUUUCUCUGUUGUCAAUGGUUCUUAUGCCAAUAUGCAGCAGUUUCUUUGCCCCUACAGUAGGUGUCGCUAUUGUCAAUGGAGGGUACAAGCCACUGUAUUGCAGAGCACUGACUUCUACAGUAGGUGUCACUGUUAGAGUGCAGCAUAUUCUCCUCCUCCAUUGACAACAGUGACACCUAGUGUAGAGGCCAGCAUAGUGCAACAUAUUGGCUUGCCGACCCAUGUUGCAGUGUGCUUGUCUCUGUUGUCAAUGGAUGUUAUGCCAGUAUGCUGCAGUUUCUUGGCCUCUACAGUAGGUGUCACUGUUGCCAAUAGAAAUUUUUGUAUCUCAUUCCCAUAGGUAAUAUAAGACGUUUCUUUUCCCAUUUUUUUCCAAUUCUUUAAAGUCACGGCUUGGUCACCUUAUGUAUCAUGCUGUCCUAUGUUAGCUGUCUUCUUUUAUGCCCUUUAAGGAAAAGAACAGGGAUUAGAAGGUCAUUGACCGUUUUAUAAGAUCUUAGAUAACAUAAACCAUAAUUAUAUGGUUAAAAGAGUCGACUUUGGACUUUUUUCCAUAAAUUAUUAACCAAGCUCCAAACUACGUAAAACCUGUCUGUAUCCGGUAUGUAGGAGGCUGCCGCUGGAGUCUUAGCAAGCAGCUAGGCCAUACUGGUUAACCCUACUAGCUAUGACAACUAGGUAAGGGCAUGCUGAGAGUUGUAGUUGUUCAGUUGGAGAGCCACCGGUUGGAGAUCUACAGGGGUCCCGAAUAGAGGGGAGUCUUACUCCAGUGAUUGUGUACAACUUUUUUGGCUAAUCGCAUGACAGUUAACCAACCCAAUUGUCUGAUUGGCUAAAAACCUUCACUUGACAGUUUUAUCCAGAUGUAGGCGCUGGUGGCCAUGCUUGAUCCCCUGAGGUCACCUUCCUGUUUCAGGAUGUUGGAGUGAGGGUCAAUCUGAUUGGUCGCUAUAACCCACUCUUCUAAUUUUUUAUACCUGAUUCCGACUCAUUUUCUAUAUAGGAGUUGUAUUUUCUAUGUGGGAAUUUAUCAGUGUGAAAUGGAAAAGCCAACGUCCUUGUGCCUUAAAAGUCUAUUUUGUGGAAGAAAUAUAGAAUAAAUGCUUUGACAAGGGUGUAUGAGGCUAGAAAAAAAGUCAGCUUUUUUCCCAAGAAACAGCACCACUCUUGUCCACAGGCUGCGUCAGGUAUUGCAGCUUAGACUCGAUCACUUGAAAAGGGCUUAGGGGCAAUACCAGACACAGCCCAAAGUGAGGGACCGGGGUAAAUGUGGAAAUGGCUGAUCUUUUUUUUCUAAUCUCAUAUUAAAUGAAAUGCCCAUUCUAUACCUGCUGACGAAACAUGAUGUGAUACGUCGACAAAACUUCCAGGUACAAGUAAUAUACUCAUGUUAGACAUGAAUUUGUGAACUUCUGUGGAAAUAGACACUGCUUUUAUGGGUGUUGCAUUUUGUAUACGUCUUUAAUGGAUAUGUCUUGUAAAUGUAUAAUUUAUCACUGUACAAAUCUUUUAUAUUUAAUUUUUUAUCAAAAAAUAAAACACAU